rnacentral:sRNA from 1 species
UGUAGUUGUUAUGUGUUGCAAUUCAU